rnacentral:rRNA from 1 species
AGAGUUUGAUCCUGGCUCAGGACGAACGCUGGCGGCACGCUUAACACAUGCAAGUCGAACGAGAGAAGAGGAGCUUGCUUUUCUGAUCUAGUGGCGGACGGGUGAGUAACACGUGAGCAAUCUGCCUUUCAGAGGGGGAUACCGAUUGGAAACGAUCGUUAAUACCGCAUAACAUAAUUGAACCGCAUGAUUUGAUUAUCAAAGAUUUAUCGCUGAAAGAUGAGCUCGCGUCUGAUUAGCUAGUUGGUAAGGUAACGGCUUACCAAGGCGACGAUCAGUAGCCGGACUGAGAGGUUGAUCGGCCACAUUGGGACUGAGACACGGCCCAGACUCCUACGGGAGGCAGCAGUGGGGAAUAUUGCACAAUGGAGGAAACUCUGAUGCAGCGAUGCCGCGUGAGGGAAGAAGGUUUUAGGAUUGUAAACCUCUGUCUUCAGGGACGAAAAAAGACGGUACCUGAGGAGGAAGCUCCGGCUAACUACGUGCCAGCAGCCGCGGUAAUACGUAGGGAGCGAGCGUUGUCCGGAAUUACUGGGUGUAAAGGGAGCGUAGGCGGGAUCGCAAGUCAGAUGUGAAAACUAUGGGCUUAACCCAUAAACUGCAUUUGAAACUGUGGUUCUUGAGUGAAGUAGAGGUAAGCGGAAUUCCUAGUGUAGCGGUGAAAUGCGUAGAUAUUAGGAGGAACAUCAGUGGCGAAGGCGGCUUACUGGGCUUUAACUGACGCUGAGGCUCGAAAGCGUGGGGAGCAAACAGGAUUAGAUACCCUGGUAGUCCACGCCGUAAACGAUGAUUACUAGGUGUGGGGGGACUGACCCCUUCCGUGCCGCAGCAAACGCAAUAAGUAAUCCACCUGGGGAGUACGACCGCAAGGUUGAAACUCAAAGGAAUUGACGGGGGCCCGCACAAGCAGUGGAGUAUGUGGAUUAAUUCGAAGCAACGCGAAGAACCUUACCAGGUCUUGACAUCGUAUGCAUAGCUCAGAGAUGAGUGAAAUCUCUUCGGAGACAUAUAGACAGGUGGUGCAUGGUUGUCGUCAGCUCGUGCCGUGAGAUGUUGGGUUAAGUCCCGCAACGAGCGCAACCCUUACUGUUAGUUGCUACGCAAGAGCACUCUAGCAGGACUGCCGUUGACAAAACGGAGGAAGGUGGGGAUGACGUCAAAUCAUCAUGCCCCUUAUGACCUGGGCCUCACACGUACUACAAUGGCUGUCAACAGAGGGAAGCAAAGCCGCGAGGUGGAGCGAACCCCUAAAAGCAGUCUUAGUUCGGAUUGUAGGCUGCAACCCGCCUACAUGAAGUCGGAAUUGCUAGUAAUCGCAGAUCAGCAUGCUGCGGUGAAUACGUUCCCGGGCCUUGUACACACCGCCCGUCACGCCAUGGGAGUCGGUAACACCCGAAGCCUGUAGUCUAACCGCAAGGAGGACGCAGUCGAAGGUGGGAUUGAUGACUGGGGUGAAGUCGUAACAAGGUA